UUCUUUUUCAUUUUCACUUACAAAAAUGAGAAAUGAAAAACCUUGAAAUCCCCACUUGAAGGAGCUCCCUAUCACAAUCCAAGGACUUGUUGCGAUCCUCUAGAAUAUCCUCUUCAAUCAUUUAUCACUCUAUUUCUUAUCAUUUAAUUAAAAAGUUAGACUCAGUUACUGAAGAAAGCAAUGGAGUUCGCUAGUGAUAAAAGUUUGUUGAUGUUUGGCAACAAGGUUACAGUUUCGAACUCAUUUACAAAGUUGGUGUUAGGUCAAAGAAAAGGUUGCGUAUCAAACUCAGAUUACAAAGUUGAAAUAUGGUCAAAGAUGAGGUUGCAAUUUGGAGCCCAAAUUACAAAAUUGAAAUUAGGUCAAAGAUUUAUGGAUUAUAAAAAAAAAAAAAUUGAUAUACAAUGGAUGUAAUCACAAUUGGCCCUAGAUUUAAGAAUUGCUUUUAUGUAUUCGGGGAAGGCCAUUGACAUUAUUUCAAUUUCAAAUGAUCAACCAUUUGUUACUUGAGAAGCAUGAAAUCAAAGCGCAAGUUCAAAUA